rnacentral:rRNA from 1 species
UAGGGAAUCUUCCACAAUGGACGCAAGUCUGAUGGAGCAACGCCGCGUGAGUGAAGAAGGUUUUCGGAUCGUAAAGCUCUGUUGUUGGUGAAGAAGGAUAGAGGCAGUAACUGGUCUUUAUUUGACGGUAAUCAACCAGAAAGUCACGGCUAACUACGUGCCAGCAGCCGCGGUAAUACGUAGGUGGCAAGCGUUGUCCGGAUUUAUUGGGCGUAAAGCGAGCGCAGGCGGAAUGAUAAGUCUGAUGUGAAAGCCCACGGCUCAACCGUGGAACUGCAUCGGAAACUGUCAUUCUUGAGUGCAGAAGAGGAGAGUGGAACUCCAUGUGUAGCGGUGGAAUGCGUAGAUAUAUGGAAGAACACCAGUGGCGAAGGCGGCUCUCUGGUCUGCAACUGACGCUGAGGCUCGAAAGCAUGGGUAGCGAACAGGAUUAGAUACCCUGGUAGUCCAUGCCGUAAACGAUGAGCGCUAGGUGUUGGGGACUUUCCGGUCUCAGUGCCGCAGCAAACGCAUUAAGCGCUCCGCCUGGGGAGUACGACCGCAAGGUUGAAAC